GAUCUCUCUCUCUCUCUCUCUAAUCCUAGAUUUAGAUCUGUUUCUAUCGAUCAACACAAUCGAACGGCGAUCUACUCCUAGAUCUGUUUCUAUAUUCUUGGAUUUGUUCUCUCCCUUGUAUUGUAUUCGAUUUCCAACUUCGAAUGAUUUUCAAGCGUUUCAAUCCAGAUCUGUGGGGUUCGAUUUUGCAAGCGAGAUCUAUAUCACUCUCCAUCUGUGUUCGUCUCUGUCAAUUCCAGAAAAUUGAGAUCCAGAUCUGAGAGAUUUCAUCAUAUUGACAGAAGAAAAAUGUCGAAAUACAGAAACAUGACAAAUCUAGCGACGAAAUCGAGUUUUGGAUAAAUCAAGGGCGAAGAUUCUCUCUCAAUCGCUGGAUCUCCUCUUGUGAGAAGAUGAUUGAUCUCGGCGGCGGCAGCGUAGUCGACGGCGGUGUGGGUGAUGGGAGUUAGGGUUUCUUAUUUAGGUUAAAUUCAUUAAGGGUAAAAUAGUCCAAAUGAGAUAACCUUUUAGAGAAGGGGCAAUUUUGAAAAUGGACAUGAGAAAAGUGGUAUUUUUGCUAA